UUUUAAAUGCCUGAAGCGUUUCCUGCUUGCAUUUUUAAAGUGACAUUAUCUUUAUUAUUAAGGGCCUACUCUAGGUGCGGUACUUCACUAUAGUUUAUAAAAGAUGGUCCCUGUCAGCAAAGAACUGUAACCUGUAUGAGAAUAUUAUACUAACAUACAAGAAACAAGUAGAGAAUAAUGGAAUGUAAACUCUGGCUUGCUAACUUAAGUGUGGUAGAAGCUUGAAGGAAAUGUGGACUUAAACUUAUCAGAGAAGACUUAUAAGAGGAUAUGAAAGGUGUAAAUUUUGAUACCACCAUUGCCGCCUUCCCCUCAAAAAAGGUGAGAACUGACUAAACUACUGGUACUUAGACCAUGUGGAGAAGGAACUGAAAAUGGAAACAGAAACACGUCUGUACAGAGCAGAGUGUCAGAUAAUAGCUCAUUUUAGUAGAGGGCAAUAAAUGCCACAUGAGAUGAUCACCUCAGCAGAAAACUGUAAGUAACUGGGGACUUACAGGAGAAUUGAACAGUUGUUUCUGCUGACUCAGUAAAAAGUCU
rnacentral:lncRNA from 10 species